GACGGAGGGCGCAAGCGUUGUUCGGAAUUACUGGGCGUAAAGCGCGGGCAGGUGGUCCGUUAAGUCGUCUGUGAAAAUCCGGGGCUCAACCCCGUGAAAUGCAGGCGAUACUGGCGGACUGGAGAUCGGUAGAGGCUAGCGGAAUUCCUGGUGUAGCGGUGGAAUGCGUAGAUAUCAGGAAGAACACCCGUGGCGAAGGCGGCUAGCUGGGCCGAGUCUGACACUCAUCCGCGAAAGCGUGGGGAGCAAACAGG
rnacentral:rRNA from 1 species